GGGGGGACGUUGGAUCCUGGGCUGUGCCCCCGGCGCCCUGUGCUCCCGGGCCUGCGCUAUUGGAUUCGUGCUCCCGCCCCGCAGCCCCCU
rnacentral:pre_miRNA from 1 species